UUUCAAGUGUAAAGAUGU
rnacentral:snRNA from 1 species